rnacentral:rRNA from 1 species
AGUGAACGCUGGCGGUAGGCCUAACACAUGCGAGUCGAACGGCAGCACAGUAAGAGCUUGCUCUUACGGGUGGCGAGUGGCGGACGGGUGAGGAAUACAUCGGAAUCUACUUUUUCGUGGGGGAUAACGUAGGGAAACUUACGCUAAUACCGCAUACGACCUACGGGUGAAAGCAGUGGAUCUUCGGACCUUGCGCGAUUGAAUGAGCCGAUGUCGGAUUAGCUAGUUGGCGGGGUAAAGGCCCACCAAGGCGACGAUCCGUAGCUGGUCUGAGAGGAUGAUCCGCCACACUGGAACUGAGACACGGUCCAGACUCCUACGGGAGGCAGCAGUGGGGAAUAUUGGACAAUGGGCGCAAGCCUGAUCCAGCCAUACCGCGUGGGUGAAGAAGGCCUUCGGGUUGUAAAGCCCUUUUGUUGGGAAAGAAAAGCAGCAGGUUAAUACCCCGCUGUUCUGACGGUACCCAAAGAAUAAGCACCGGCUAACUUCGUG